GGCGUCUAAUACUGGAUAUGUGACGUGACCGCAUGGUCUGCGUUUGGAAAGAUUUUUCGGUUGGGGAUGGGCUCGCGGCCUAUCAGCUUGUUGGUGAGGUAAUGGCUCACCAAGGCGUCGACGGGUAGCCGGCCUGAGAGGGUGACCGGCCACACUGGGACUGAGACACGGCCCAGACUCCUACGGGAGGCAGCAGUGGGGAAUAUUGCACAAUGGGCGGAAGCCUGAUGCAGCAACGCCGCGUGAGGGAUGACGGCCUUCGGGUUGUAAACCUCUUUUAGCAGGGAAGAAGCGAGAGUGACGGUACCUGCAGAAAAAGCGCCGGCUAACUACGUGCCAGCAGCCGCGGUAAUACGUAGGGCGCAAGCGUUAUCCGGAAUUAUUGGGCGUAAAGAGCUCGUAGGCGGUUUGUCGCGUCUGCUGUGAAAUCCCGAGGCUCAACCUCGGGCCUGCAGUGGGUACGGGCAGACUAGAGUGCGGUAGGGGAGAUUGGAAUUCCUGGUGUAGCGGUGGAAUGCGCAGAUAUCAGGAGGAACACCGAUGGCGAAGGCAGAUCUCUGGGCCGUAACUGACGCUGAGGAGCGAAAGGGUGGGGAGCAAACAGGCUUAGAUACCCUGGUAGUCCACCCCGUAAACGUUGGGAACUAGUUGUGGGGUCCAUUCCACGGAUUCCGUGACGCAGCUAACGCAUUAAGUUCCCCGCCUGGGGAGUACGGCCGCAAGGCUAAAACUCAAAGGAAUUGACGGGGACCCGCACAAGCGGCGGAGCAUGCGGAUUAAUUCGAUGCAACGCGAAGAACCUUACCAAGGCUUGACAUAUACGAGAACGGGCCAGAAAUGGUCAACUCUUUGGACACUCGUAAACAGGUGGUGCAUGGUUGUCGUCAGCUCGUGUCGUGAGAUGUUGGGUUAAGUCCCGCAACGAGCGCAACCCUCGUUCUAUGUUGCCAGCACGUAAUGGUGGGAACUCAUGGGAUACUGCCGGGGUCAACUCGGAGGAAGGUGGGGAUGACGUCAAAUCAUCAUGCCCCUUAUGUCUUGGGCUUCACGCAUGCUACAAUGGCCGGUACAAAGGGCUGCAAUACCGUGAGGUGGAGCGAAUCCCAAAAAGCCGGUCCCAGUUCGGAUUGAGGUCUGCAACUCGACCUCAUGAAGUCGGAGUCGCUAGUAAUCGCAGAUCAGCAACGCUGCGGUGAAUACGUUCCCGGGUCUUGUACACACCGCCCGUCAAGUCAUGAAAGUCGGUAA
rnacentral:rRNA from 1 species